UAAAUAUAAUAUAUUAUCUAUCCUUGUAAAAGAAGAAUUGUAUUCAAAAUGAUAUAUUUUAUCAUUCUGAGAAAUUUAAAAGCAGGCUUUGAAAGAAGCUGGGAGGGACACUGCCUUCUGCUAAAUUAUAUUAGCUUUGUAUUUAUUUUCAAAACCACGAGAAAUACGCUUUUAUUGAAGGAAAAUAAGAACAGACUUUUCUUAACCAUAAAGCUAGAACAAAUAGAGAACAUUACUCUGAGACAUUUUGUUGGCUUUCACUAAUGAAAGUUUUCAAUAUUUGGCUGCGUACUCUGUGCUUUUGAGUGUAAGGGGUUUUUUGUGCUUCAUCUUUGAAAAUCAUUUUUGAGAGUUUCUUUCUUCUCUCCUUCCAUUUAUUUAUUUUUUAAUAAUACAUUAACAGAUGUUAAUGUAUUGUAUGUUUUGAAAAAGUGCUACUGCCCUUUCCUUUGGGGAUUUUUGAAGAGACUUUAAGUUAUUAAGUAAUUGUUGUUACUUGAGCUAGUACUUGCCUUUACUCUUCUUUAAUCAGGAUUCAAUUACUGGUGAAGGUGAAUAAAAAUCUGUGAACAUAAAGUAAUUGUACUUACAGGGAUUUAGCACUGCAAAACAGUGUAACAGGGUAAGAACAAGGGUAAGAUAAAUAAAAAGUAGAAAAAAAAUGACUGCACUUAGUUUACAGCCCAACAAUGUAACGUGGAAAGGGAAAACUGUUAUGUUCAUUACUUUUAUUUAUUUUUUUGUCAUUGGGUAAAUUUGGAGACUGUAGAGAAUCUAAACACACACCCGUAUGUAUAUUGUAAUGUCUGUGUUUCCUGUAUAUCUUGCAUGGUGGGUGUGUUCUUAGGUUUGUGUACAUGUGCAAGUAUGUGUUUGUGUUGUGUGAGUUAGCGUAUAGCUGGAUGUCAUUGUGUAGAGGAGGUGACCGAUGCUGGCCCCAUCUCUAAGUUGAAGUUUAGUGAGUUUCUUAAGCCAGUAUGUGUGUAUCAUGUCAGGGUCCGGUACUGUCCAGUUCUUCAUACCUGAGGUUCUAUCUUGGAUGUCUGCCACUGCGAUGGUUACUGGGUUCUGUUCAGGGAGGUUGCUAUGCUCUUUUCUCAGAGAGACCAGCCAUUGACCAUUGUUGUUAUGUGCUGUCUCUUUCUCCCGUAUACUCUUCCAGUCCUGUUCAGUUUGUAGCCUUGGUGGGUCUGCACGCUCUGCUGUAUUUUUGAUUAUGCCAUUGAGCGUACACUUUUUCAGGUUGAGUUGCAAAUGGCCUGCUUAUCCAUCUGGCUUCCUUUUCUCUUGUGUUCAUCUUUAGGCAGCUGCUCAAGGCCAGGGACAUUUGUUAAAGGAGAAUGAGCUGAGCUGAGCUCGCUCGCUCGCUCGCUCGCUCGGACGCUGGCGGACAGAAAGUCGCUGCGGCCCUACAAGGUGUGGGGGCUGCCGGCUCGGGCCUCCUGAACUUUGAGAUAUCUUUCAUAUUUUCAUCGAGAAAAUAGUAAUAAAAAUACUGGUCCCCUAAUUUUAUUUCUUUUUUCCCCUCUCUGGUUAAUGCGAGACAGUGAGCCUUCAAACUCAGUCACAGAGACACAGGAACACUGUGGAAGCGCCUGCCAUAGAAAAUACAACACAGAUAAUCACAUAAACCCAUAUAACAACAUUUUAGAAGAACUUUUCACAAUGAAUACACCUGAUUUCUCAACAUCAUUCGUGUCCUCGAUACAUUUCAAGUGUGAUAUCCAUCACCAGGACACCAUGAUCACAAAUGAAACACACAGAAAAUAUAACAGUGAAGGAGCCAUACCAUGAAAAAUAUUUUUGAGCUUUUAAGUGUAUUAUACUGUUCAUUUCUCACUAUAAAGAACCCCAAAUUGGUAUUUUGAUCAGUUAACACAUUUCUGAGUAAUCCUCUAAAAACCUGCGCUUUAAACAGCAGCCCCUCCCAUGAAACGAGCAGGUCCUCUCGUGCUGACAUCACAAAUUAACAACCGCCCUUCAGGAAGAGUCUGCUCCACCCCCAGGCUAACACAAACACUUUCUCUGUGAAGCUAGCUGAUCACCGCUAGCUCUGUGAGCCCCCCACCAACGGCUCGUGCACAGUUGUACAGACACCGGCUUGCUCUGUUGUGAUCCAGUUUAGCGAUGGCAAAGAAAUACCCUUUCUCUUUAGCGUUUAAACUGUGCAUAGAAACUUCUGGGGAAAAAUCUGCCAGAUAUGUUGAGAUGGAUCCUGAACGUAUCCGAGAGUGGCUGCAAGCAGACGUGGAUUUUGAGAAGGUGGCAGGAGAAAGGGAGCAGACUGUUUACUGGUGGAGAAAGGGAGCAAUGAUUUGGGAGAAUUGGUUUGAACAUGGAUUAUUGUACAAAGGACAGAAAGGUGUGCGUGAAAACGAUAACCCUGUUUCUCAGCUGGAUUCAUAGUUUUCAUCUCUGUGAGCAGGGAGAUGGUUGAGGCAGAAAGAAAGUUUAUAUGACUGGAAAACUAAAGUCAUAAAUGUAGCUGACCCUGAAAGUAACCGUGUUUACGUUGAAUCUUCCUCUGUGUGGUAUCAAGAAGUGACAUCCACAUUGUUUUAUUGCCACUUUCAAUAAAAAAAAAAAAAGAAAUAGAACUGUAAACACAAGGCAGGGAACAACAAUGGGAGACUAAUUCAAAGACAAUGCAGCUGGGCUGAUUAAAAAGAAUUCAGGUGUGAGCAGUAGUAGAUGACAGAUAAACAAAUGUAUUGAAGCAGAAAAGAAAAGAAAAAAAGUCAAAAUAAAAAAAAAAUAUUGUGUUUCAAGAAAGUGUAAACCAUGGUUAAUUAUUUUAAUCAAUUUAAUAUCUAGAUACAAUAAAACGCUAAAACAUUUAGUUAUUUAACAAAUUACCAAUACUUUAACAUCCUUAAAUUAAUAAAACAAAAGGAUGAAGAUUCCUCCUUUCUUUAUUGCUUUUAAUAACAUAAACUAAAGAAUAUUUUUUAUUCAAAAAUGUACAUAUGAUAUUUGUCUAUAUAUUUUGACUUCAAUCUUUAAAAAUGGUGACCAUUUGGGAUUUUUAACCUGGUUAUUGUGAUUUUCUGAAAGUGAAAAUUCUAACGUACAUUCACGUCAAAUUUGGUGCUUAGAUGAUAAAAUGCACAGUUUGUCUGAAAUAUCAACCUAACCGACUCCCCUAAAUACAAUAGAAAACUUUAUUGAUCCCACAAAGGGGAAAUUACCUAAACAAUAUAUUAAAAAAAGACAAGUGACUAUCUACUGCUGAAAUUAGUACAUUUAAAAGUGUAUUUUUCACAAAGUACAUGUUUUUUUUGGUUUGUUAAAACGAUCCUUUCUCGCUGCUUCACACUUCACAUGGUUUACAUCAACUGGUUGUUUCCAGCAUUUGCACACGGUGCAUCUUCCCUUUGAGGCUUGAAAAUCCACUCAACCAAGGCUGUAAUUUUUUGUAUUUAAUUGAGGUUUUUUUUUUUUGUUGUUUUUUAAUUGAGUUGUUUUAUUUAUUUGUUUAUUUUUAGGAAAUAUUAAAAGCCAGAAAUGAUCAAAACAACUCUUGUAUUUUAGUGCAUCAUCAGAUUUCCACUUGUUCAGAUGAUUGUGUCUGCUAGAACUAUGUAACAGAAUGUGUCCCCACAUCUCUGCACACUGCAGUGGGGUGUGUAUAAACCAGUCUUUGACAAUAAUGGAUGAUUAAAACUGAUUAGAAUUCAGUGUGAUUUGUUGUUUUAGGUUGCUGAAGAACUUAUAUUUGUGGGCUGUUGUCUGGACUUUGCACAUUGUAACUUCACAUCAGUAAUUUUGGCAUCAAUAUUCCAUAUCUAGGGAUGGUCGUUGUUUCAAGGGGUUGGAUGUUUUUAACUACAGGGAGAAAACAAAAAAUGAUGUUGGCAGUAAGAGAUGGAAAGCUGUGCUGUUGAAAAUUGACAUGAUUUGAAGGACCGUGUGAUGCAGUGUGAUAGUUUUAUGGAUUAAAAAAGGACUCCUAAAGUGAAUAAAGCUGUGCUGAUAGAUGACAGAAACAUUCUGGGCUGGGCAGGGCAGCAGGUGAUGAGUUUCUUUACCACCAGUGUAAUAGGAUUUUGAUGAUCCUGUUUGUGUUUGUUGAGCACCACAAAGAGGUCGAGCGAAGUAAAAACAUGUGAUUACUAC